rnacentral:rRNA from 1 species
ACCACGCCAUAUAGUGGAUGACUGGACUCAGGAUUUGAUGAAGGACGUGGUAAGCUGCGAUAAGCUACGGGUAGGCGCAUGCAGCCGUGGAACCGUAGAUUUCCGAAUGGGGUAACCUAAAUCAAAGGAAACUUUGAUUUAUGUCUAAAAGACAUGAUGACCCUCUGAAGGGAAACAUCUUAAUAAGAGGAGGAAAAGAAAUCAAUUGAGAUUCCCCUAGUACCGGCGAGAGAAAAGGGAAGAGCGCAAACUGAAUCGAGCUUAGUAAUUUGCUCGAGAUGUGGGGUUUUGGAUGUAUACACAUGUUAUCCUAAGAAUAAAGUUGAAAUAGUUUGGAAUAACUUGCCAGAGAGGGUGAAAGCCCCCUAAACGUAAAGUUCAAAGGAUAAUGUAUAUGUCCCGAGUACCUUUCUUUGAUUGGAAAGGAAAGAUAGGGGUCACCGACCUCUAACGCUAAAUAAUACCUGAGAUCGAUAGCGUAUUAGUACCGUGAGGGAAAGUUGAAAAGUAUCCCGAAAGGGAGUUGAAAAGUGCCUGAAACUAUAUGGUUAUAGACGAACGAGGCCUGAAAGGAAAAAAUUUAUAAUUUGAUUUAUCAUUUUAUCAAUUCAUCCAGGGUUUCGUGUUCCGUCUAGAAUUACGGGCCGGGGAGUUCAUAAUUAUGACAAGUUUAAAGCAUAUAAGCUGAAAGCGUAGGGAAACCGAUUAGUAAGCAGCAUCAAUUUUGAUGUGAGUUACAACAUCUACAAGGGUGUGGAGUCAUAAUUUUGAAGCUAGAAGCCAAGCGAUCUAUUCUUGGGUAAGGUGAAGCCGAGUGUGAACUUGGUGGAAGCCUGCAAGGGUUUUGACGUGCAAUUCAUUCCUCAAAUCUGAGAAUAGGGGCGAAAGACCAAUCAAGCUUGGAGAUAGCUAGUUCCCUCCGAAAUGGAUCGUAGUCCAGCGACAGACGAGGUAGAUAUAUAGGUAAAGCACUGAUGGAGGAAGAAGGAACCUCGGUUCCCUUUCACCGUCAAACUCAGAAUUAUAUAUCGCUUUAGACUCUGUCAGACGGGUUUAUGGGGGUAAGCUCCAUAACCUCAAGGGGAACAACCCAACCUAGAGUUAAGGCCUCUAAAUAUUGAUUAAGUACUACACUAAAGGAUGUCUUUGAUCUAAGACAGAUGGAGAGUAGGCUUAGAAGCAGCCAUCUCAUAAUGAAUGCGUAACAACUCACCAUUCAAGAUUGAAGGCGCCGAAAAUACUCGAGGUUUAAAUCAAUUGCCGAUACUCUAGAGCAGAAAUAUAUUAUUUCUGAUCUGGUAGGAGGGCGUCGAGAUUGGAUAGAAGUUGGGCCGUAAGGUCCUGUGGACCGAUUUCGAUUGCAGAUCCCGGUGGUAGUAGCAGCGCAAUUGGGUGAGAAUCCCAAUCGCCGAAAGAGCAAGGGUUCCCUGGCAACGCGUCGUCGACCAGGGGUUAGCCGAUCCUAAGAUCAAUUUUAACAUAAUUGACCGAAUGGGAAACUGGUUAAUAUUCCAGUGCCAUUGUAGAUAUGUGGCAACACAUUAUAUUUUUUGACACUUUGGGAUAAUAUGAGCAGAGCCAUCGCUUUGUCUAACUAUUUAAACUUGGUGAGUACCGUAAUGGUGAGACCCGAGUGAAUGUAGGAAUGGCCAACAUGAGUUGGUUUAUAUGAGUCUUAGAGUCAGUGAAAAUAAAAAUAUAAAUUAUAUCUAUGUGUUCGUACCCAGAAUCAACACAGAUGCUCUGAGUGAGUAGCUUAAGGCGUAUCGGAUUAUUGUGAGCGAGGGAAUUCGGCAAAUUAGUCCCGUAUCUUUGGUAUAAGGGAUGUCUGCUUUUGCAACUUAUGUUGUAACAACAGAUCUCAGUAACAAGGGGGACCUGACUGUUUAUUAAAAACAUAGGGGGCUGCUAGUCCGAAAGGAUGUGUACAGCUCUUGAGUCUUGGCCAGUGGUGGUACCUCAAACUUGGGUUCAACCAAGCUAAGGGCCGCUAAACGCCGGGAGUAACUCUGACUCUCUUAAGGUAGCCAUAUGCCUUGUCGGGUAAGUUCCGACGUGCAUGAAUAGAUUAACAAGGUCUCCACUGUCCCCGCUUGCAUUCCGGCGAACCUACGUUACGUGGAUGAAUAGUCCACGAUUUUCCAUCGGGAAAAGAAGUCCCUGUGAAGCUUUACUGCAACUUAUUGUUGGGUCGUAAUUAAUUAUACAUAGCGUAGUCGGGAGCCUUCGAAACAUAUUCUUUGGGGUAUGUUGAGGCGCCAAUGUAACACCGACUAUUUUUGAUUAUUUCUCUUACCUGUCUUUUAGAUAGGGACAUCAGUAGGCGGGCAGUUUGGCUGGGGCGGCCCCCCCUUGAAAAAAUAUCGAGGGGGCCCAAUGAUCAGCUCAAGCGGGUCAGAAACCCGCUGUAGAGGGUAAGGCCAAAAGCUGGUCUGACUGUCUCUUUGACACUAAGGGAGACAGAGGCGAAAGCCGGGCCUAGCGAACCUUCAAGUCCUCAUCGGUGGGGGCUGAAGAUGUCAGAAAAGUUACUCCAGGGAUAACAGGCUUGUCGCGGGUGAGAGUUCUCAUCGACCUCGCGGAUUGGUACUCCGAUGUCGGCUCUUCCUAUCCUGGCUCUGCAGAAGGGGCCAAGGGUUGGGCUGUUCGCCCAUUAAAAGGGAUCGUGAGCUGGGUUUAGACCGUCGUGAGACAGGUCGGACUUUAUCUGAUGGAAAUGUUGAUCGUCUGAAGGAAAAUCAUCUCCAGUACGAGAGGAACAAGGUGAUGAGGCCUCUGGUCUAGCGGUUGUCCGACAGGGCAGCGCCGCGCAGCUACGCCUCUGAGGAUAAGAGCUGAAAGCAUCUAAGCUCGAAGCCUUCCCCAAAAAUAGACGGUCAUUUGUUUAACACGUGUCAUUUUCACGAAUGAAGGCGGUUAAGCAACAAUGGCGGGAGUAAAAGACUCCGUUGAUGGAAAGGUAGUGUAAGUUAGAAGGUUUCGACCGACUAAUUCAGCUAGCCUUCACCAAUAGCCAAAGGUAUCACA